rnacentral:rRNA from 1 species
UACGUAGGGUGCGAGCGUUGUCCGGAAUUAUUGGGCGUAAAGAGCUCGUAGGCGGUCUGUCGCGUCUGCUGUGAAAACCCGAGGCUCAACCUCGGGCCUGCAGUGGGUACGGGCAGACUAGAGUGCGGUAGGGGAGAAUGGAAUUCCUGGUGUAGCGGUGGAAUGCGCAGAUAUCAGGAGGGACACCGAUGGCGAAGGCAGUUCUCUGGGCAGUAACUGACGCUGAGGAGCGAAAGCGUGGGGAGCGAACAGG